UACGUAGGGGGCGAGCGUUGUCCGGAUUUAUUGGGCGUAAAAGGCUUGUAGGUGGCCACGUCAAGUCGGAUGUGAAAUCUCCCGGCUCAACUGGGAGGGGUCAUUCGAUACUGGCGGGCUCGAGGCCGGUAGGGGAAGCGGAAUUCCCGGUGUAGUGGUGGAAUGCGUAGAUAUCGGGAGGAACACCAGUGGCGAAGGCGGCUUCCUGGAC
rnacentral:rRNA from 1 species